UUGAAACACCAGUUCUUGUAUGAUCACUGAAGUUAAGCAACAUCGAGCCUGGUCAAUACCUAGAUGGGUGACUGCUCGGUAAUACAGGUGCUGUAA